CUGUGCGUGCGUAUGUAAAUUUUCAGGUGAUUCUGUAGAUAUAUUGGAUAAGCUUUUGUAGAAGGAGCUUCUAGAGCAACGUUUAGGGAAUGGUAGGGUUAUGGAUCACAGGUUUUCAGAGUCAAAUUUGGCACAGUAGAUCAACUUUCCACAUUUGAUUUCCUGGACGCUCUCUUUAAAUGCUCUUGAAUUCAACAAUGCAGCGCCCUAGAGUUUUUUUUUUCCUUCUGUUUCUUUUUCUUUGAAUAACCUUGCGAUCUUACAAGUGCCUUUUUGAAGGAAAUGAAACUAAUAUACUACUUAGAAGUUAUAGUUAUAAUAUGUACAUCCCCCGGUUCAUGUCCUGGACCAUGCCAAAUUUGCAGCAAAAGAAGGGAUAUUUUCAUGCUUGAUUGUUUAAGAAUGAAAUGCAGCUUUACUGGAAUAGACGCUACUGCUCCAUAUCUUAAAAUGUACAGAAAGUUAAUCUUGCCGAUCUCAUUUGUUUGAUCACUUGGUUGCUUUGGGAUAUUUUUCUAGAUAGGCUAAGCUCUCUACUAAGAGUGCAAAUGAGUCGAGUCAAGUCGAAUUUUGGUUUAAUCAAACCGAGCUUCUAGUUAAUUUUAUGAAGUUCGAGCUCGAGCUCAACGAGUUCAAAAUAUUAAGCUCAAGCUCGAGAUUAAAAAAUAAAAAAUUAUUAUUAUUUUAUUUUUAAAAAAUAAAAAUAAUUAUUUUAUUUUUAAAAAUGAAUAAAAUAAUAAUUUUUUCUAACAAAUAAUAAAACAUUAGGGAUAUAUAUGUAAUUUUACUAUUAAAAUAAAAAUAUAUAUAUACAUAUAUAAUCGAACUCGCGAGCCAAUGAACUUAAUGUUUUUAAGCUCAAGCUCGACUUGAUUAGCUCGAACUCGUAUUCGAAUCGAUCGCGAUCGACUUAUGAGCGGUUUGAUUCGUGGACUGCCCUACCGUCUAGCCAAAUACAGCAGGAAGUGACAACGAGAAAGUAUGUUGGAAUCUUGUCCUUGACUCCACACAUCAUAUCAACUUCUUUUUUACUCAGUUAACAUCAAUCUCCCCACAGGGUCUAUCAUGGGUGACCAAUUUGUUUUUUGUUCAUGAUAUCCUAUCUGACUAGUCCAAUGCCAACCUUCUUUAGAGGCUUAUUCUGGCAGACUUUGGUAUGCAAUUGUUGUUUCUCCCCUUCACUGCAACAAGAAAGUAGUAUCCUUUGACAACCUUUGACAGUAUAAAUAUGCUUCAACUGAAAAGUCAGAAGUACAAGUUUUUCCGAUGAAGUCGACCUUUGAUCAGUUAUUUUCUCAACAGAAACACGCUUCAAUCCUCCCUCCCUAGUGAUAUUUACAGAAAGUAUUUGACAUCUAGAUGACUCGAGUCUUGUAGCAAUCAGGGAGGGACUCCCACUAAGUUGGUCUGUGAUGCUUUGAAAAGAAAUUAUGUUCUGAGAUGUUGCUUGCUGCAAGUUUUAGGUGUAUAUUACACAAAUUAUGAACGAUAUAUGUUUUUCAACUCUUGUGAAACGUGGCGUCAAGUACUAUUCAAUUUGGUGACGGUGCUGUUUUUGGGGGUGUUUGUGAAAAAUUUUACUGUAACAAAGUUUUUAGAGUAUAUUUUGGGAUAUUUUUAGAAAAUAUUUUGGAAUAUUUAAGAGUAGUAGAGUUUUUAAAAUAUAUUUUGGAAUAUUUUUUGAAUAUUAAAAAAAAUUUAGAUUACUUUUUAGAUUAUCUUUUUGAAAAACUAGUUUUUGAAAAACUAGUGGAUCCAAACAGAGGUUUUUAAAAACAAAGAACCUCUGAUGUUAUGUUGAAAACAUUUAUCUUAUUGUUUGGACUUGGAUGGCAAACAAACAAUGUUUUUGUGUGAACCUCUUGUCUGUGUAUUCAUAAAUGUCAUGUAAAGAUAUAUAAUGUUUAAUGAGAGCAGGAUUUAGUUGCUAAUUAAUUCACAUCAACUUUCCAUUGAAGGCAAGAUUCUAGAACUUGGUGGGUUGGUAAACAUAUCAGAAGAUCCAUAGGUUUAUUCAGACAUCAAUUUUAAACACCUAAGCAAACUUUUCCUCACUAAGUAUGCUCGACUGGCUGAUAAUUUAUAUUUAACAAGUUAAAAUUGUAGGAUCGGUCAUAUGAAAAAGAAGCAUGAAUUUUCAAUGCAUAAAAUGAGCUGAGAAACAGCCACUAGUUAACAAUGCUUCACACUGAGCUUCAGCUUUUCCUUUGGGGAUGGCUACAAGAUGCAGAUUCACUAAUGUGAUUCAGCUACAACCAUUCUCACUAUAAUUACGCUUUUGUAACAUGAUUUCCCAGUCAAUUCUGUGGAAUCCAAGGUAGCUCAGGAGAGAUUGGUGAUGGUCCUCAAACUCUAGUAUAUUUGGAUUGUUUAUCUAUUAUGGCUGUGAUCACAAGAGCACACUCCAAAGGGUAGCAGGAUCUUCACCACACCUGGUAUGAACCUCUUUUAUUCUUUCAACAGAACUGCAAAUCCCACUACACCUCCAAUCAAAUGAUGCCACGCAAGCGCUACCAGACUGUGCUUUCCAUUCACAUUCUGUAAAGUCAGGUGAAUUUCAUUAGACAUACCAAAGAAUGAAGACUAAUACUACUUGGCACGUUCAAAGUAUUAGGCCUAUGACGCUUCUGUAUGAUGAUCUUUCAUUCUUGACAAGUUUGAAAAUUGUAAUUGUCAAUAUGUAUUUAUUGGUGAUUCAUCCAUAACUGUUAGACAGAUCUAGGAGUUCUAAGUUCCAACAAACCUUAAGAGCAAAGACAUAAAAAGAAAUAUACAAGAGAAGUGACUAGAGUUGAUUCGCACAUUCUCUCCUAAUGCUUCCGAGAAUUACUGAACUGAAUGUUCGCCAUCACAGUUAUGGAAUUUUUCUGUUGUUAACUACACUUUUUUGCCCUUAAAGCAGUGUACUUGUUGUUGAGGAACAUAGUGUUGGGUCACUAAUUGGUGUAAAGAAGCAAAAGUAGAACUAUGGGGACUAUAUUUUGCCCAAUAAAGGUCCAAGUGCAUAGUGUAUAAACCUAAUAUAUCACUUUGCACAAUGGAAUUGGAGCCAACAAUAGCAUAAAACAAGCAGAAGCAAGAACAAAACUUGGAAACUGCAUACCGUGUGGUGUUCUACAGCACAUAUUAUGAUCGUUAAUGUGCUCAACUUCAAGACCAAUUAGCCAUGCCCCCAGUGAAACAUCUUCGUUUGCAUAUUUAUGCAAAAUUGGUCUGAAAUCAUAAUAAUAACUUAAUGAGAGAAGUAUCAUACAGAAAUCCAACUACAAUGCAAAAUGUCUAAGAAUUUGAGUUCAAAAAAUACGUAUGUGGAUAUGCGGUUAAAAGAAAUGGAUAUGUGGAGUCAAGCGGAGCAUUCACCCUGUUUCAAUAACCCAAUGAGGACUUAGCUAAAUAUAUUUUUCAUCUCAUGAAAGGCAACCAGAGGGUGACUGGAACUUGCAAUUUUUGUCAGGAGAGGAAGUCACUCUUACCAGCCUAGCCAACUUUGGGCCAUGCUAGAUUGCUUCCACCUAUUAUAUUGCAACUCUAAUUAAGAAAUAAGAUUAUGUUCUCAGAUUUGCUUCCAAAAGUUAAGCUUAAUUUCCACUACAACUUUGAGGUCAAAAUGUUUCUAAAGAAAACAAUGCAAUUUUGGAAACCAAGAUUGCAUGCCUGUGUCGAUAGUUUACACUAUAAAAUCAAACUCUCUGUUCUCUUCCUAUAACAUGAAAAAUAACUGAAUGAGAUACUCAUGAUUCUUACCGGUUGACAGAGAUGUAUGUUGCCAAUUCCUGUGAGAUAGCAUAUAUCUGACCAGUUGCAUGUCUGAAAUAUCGGUUCCCCUCCUCUCCAAAUUUCCAAUGUUCAGGUUCGUGGUACUUGACGUCCCUGACAAAUGAGACAGAAAAUGAGAGCAGAGAAAACAUAUUUUGUGAAGCACAUUGCUGACUAAAGCAUGAUAUCUUUAAGAAUUGUUGGGAUUAGAGAAAAUUACUUCUGAUAAAGAACUGGUCCUGAUUUCAUACACCCUAUGUAUACCCUUGGUUUUGAACGGUGGCGGGCAAGAGUAGCAGCUAAUGUGCCUGCACUACCAGGUAAAUCAAUACUUUUAGUAAAUAUACAAAGUUCCAAACUAGUGAAUUGAGGCAACAUAUACUGAACAAUAGAUGUUCCAGAUUUCCAGCUUCUACAAGUAUAUAAAGAACUAUGGGAAUGAAAAGAGGAAAGGAGAUGGUAUACGCACCCAGAUUUACGUGAACAUCAUCAUCGAUCUUAACGUAAAAGUCAGCAUCCCAUUUGGCUACUGCAGUAGAAAAGAAUGCUUUUGUCUUUGCAGAUAACUCAUGAUAUCCCUCAACAUGUUCCUAUAGAAAAAAUCACAAUACAUGUGACCUGCUAUUAUAAAGAAUGUCCACGGUGUAGAGAGCCUUGGCUUAUACGUACCAGCCGGAGAAUGUCAUUAUGCUGUUGUUCCUCCAAGUCGAUUGCUCUGUCCAAAAUGCUAUUGGAUGUUGCACUGCAAAGACCAGCAUAAUAUUUGUCAGAGCACAUCUUGGGACACAUUAAUUUCAUAAAUGACUUCUUAUGACGAAUAUUUAUUAGGUAUAAGCAACAAAAUGCUUCAAAGAACAUGAUUAAAUUUCUAAUUCGGUCAAGUCCUCCAACUGCAUUUUCAAAUAUAUAUUUCCAAGCGUGCCAGCAGACAGACUUCUUUCCGAGUUUUACUCACAUUAUGAUUGCUGUGAUGGAACUAUCAAGUACCAUUCAGGAAAUGUAAGAAAUGUGCAAUUGUAACGAAACAAGUAGCAAUGUUAUGCAAUUACAUAGUUUGCUGCCACCAUCACUGGGGAGCACAGAAAAUAUGGUUUGUAAUUAUGUUGAUUUUUUUGUCAGUUAACAUGGCUUAAUCCUAUGUUAACUAUGGAAGGUGCUGGCAACAUUGAGGACAAUUGGAAAACAUAAAAAUCCCCAUAUUGGAAACACAUUAUAACAAGCACAUACCACAAAGUCUUAGAGCUCAAUGAUCCAGUUUCCCUGAAUUAUUGUAGUCAUUCCAUGACAAUAUAGAAGCCAGCAACAAGUGCACUCUGACACUAUUGAGACCCGGAGGGAGGGGGAGACAGGACAAGGAAUGGCAUCUAGUUCCUAGUGAUAUUCAUGAAGAAAGAAAAGAUUCGCCAGUUAUUUGCGAUAAAUUUUUACAUAAUACUUUUGUCUAGUUGAAAAGAAGUUCACCCAUAAUGUGCAUUUCCCAAGUAAGCUCCAUUUCCUAGUCAGACUUCUUAUUUGGUCAACUUGACACGUCAUGACCAUAUUAUGAUCCAGAAUUACUCUGCUUUAAUUUACAUAAGCAGUGGCGGAGCUAGGACCCUGUGGUGAGGGAUGCAACAGUCAAUUUCAAAGUAAAUCAUGCUCUAUGAUUAUAUGAGAAAUACACUAUAUACUUUGAUUCAAAAAGCCAAAUCCUUUUUUCUCAUUAGAGUGUUGUUAAUGUUUAAUUCAGAAUAAGUCCGAAAUUUAUAUUAGAAGUAAUUAAUAAAAUAUCUUAUAUUUUUUAGUGGUUAAAUUAGAAUAAAGGGACAAUAUAUAAAUCUUCAAAGGAUAAUCUAUAUAGAGAAAGGAAUUUUGUUAAAUUUAAGGGGGGCAAUACAACUAAAAUAGAGAAUUUUAUGAAAUUCAGAGGGUACAAAUGUGGUGCAGAAUUAAAAAUCUUGAAAAUUUUCAAGCCCAUUAUAUAAUUUUAUAAAAUUUGAGAAGGGGGGGGGGGGAAGCAGUUGUCCAUCCUCAAUCCUAUGUGGCUCCGCCACUGUACAUAAGUACAAGUUUCUGUCAUUAUGGCAUCCCAAAAUUGAUUAUCCAGCCGAUUCUGUUUCCAAUUGUUGCAAUUCACAGAAGCUGGAGACGAAUGACAUACAAGAGGUUAUUAUUGCCACUAUCUCUUUGUUUGGCUGAACUACAGUUAAGCUUGUUAGCGAAAUGGAUGAUAAUGUAAAGUGCUUUAAUUCUUAAGACUACCUAUUAACACUAUCCUUGCAGAUCAUACAAGAACAGGAAAGAAGGCAGACCUUAACUAGCCAGUGUACAUUUACUAUCAAGACUGCUACUCAUUGCGUCAUUGACAGUUGUAUAAAGGUGCCUUGCUCUAAACUACUAUAGUGUAAUCAUUAGCACUUCACUCUCCUUUGUUUUAAGGUGUUUAUGAAUUGGCAGAUCUCUGCCAAGCAUACAAACUGGAAGAGCAUCCUUAUCCUUGCCAUAUUGAUGACAAAUUGUUGAGUUCAUCAGUUGUUUUUCAAGGUUGCUCUUUUCUUCAAGUCCUUGUUGAGUUGUUGAGUUCAUCAGUUGUUAUUAUUGUGACUAUCAUCAUUCAUAUGCACAUGAAAAAUGAAAUCAACAAAAACAAUAUUCACCUGUGACCUAUCAUGAAUCGGAUGAAUAUGCCCUUUUCACGCUCUAACUGAACUAGCUUUUCACCUGGUCAACAAAACAAUGUGAUUUUAAAUCUAAUCCAGAGCAGAUGAAUAUAUAUUGCGGCACAAGAGCAGAACAAAAGUAAUAUUACCUUGAGGCAUCCAGGUUUCUCUAACUGAAUCACGCCUCUUUCUGCUACUAAAAGCUGUGUUAAUUCCAAUGACUAUAAAUGCCUUUUCGCGCUUACUCUUGCCAUUUGAGUCCGUGCCAAGGGCAGGCAAAUUUUCAGAUUUUCCCAUCUGAUCAACAUCUCUAGCAGAUGGUAGCUCCAGCCGAAGCUUAGCAAUUGAAUUGUCGAGAGACCUAUUAUUCCUCCACAAGCAUUAAAAGAGUCUUGUUACCAAUUGUCUCCUCUGUUGUCAUAGGCACGGUAUAGAUCGAUAUGAACAACAUGAGCAGUGCCUUAAUUAAACCAGUAACCUUAUAUUUGGCUAGGAAAAAUCAAAUUCUGUUUAGCAAUUUAGCUUCUUUUAGAUGGAUGUUAUAUAUAUAUCAAUACUAAAUUAUGAAACAAGCCCAAAAACAAAUCGGAAAAUGCAAUCAAGAAUACUCACUUAAUAGCUUCUUGAGCUUCCUUAUAACCUCUGAUGACAUCCUCUUUAUCCUGAUUGCAAAAGGAAACUCUGCUCAAAAUAUGCAAAAAGAACAGCACAGACAGCAGCGGAUUACAAUGCUUUGGGAAAGAUGAAGACAGAAAAAACAGUGAAUGUACACCUUCUCCCUUUUUGAGUCAAUUGCCAAUUCUUGUUGACGUCUCCUCAGAGAAACUAUCGGAUCAUCCCACUCAGAAGGAGCCCACAACCUAAAACUCAGCCAUGAUUUCAAUUAUCAGCUCAAGAAUUCAUAGCAUCCCAAAAUUUGACCAAACAAUUCCUUCAGAGAAAGCCCUGUCCAUGUGUAAAUCAUAGCACAUCUAAAUAUUUAGUCUUCCAAAUUCAGCCAGCUUUGGCAUAUGCUGGACUAAUCCACCCCUCUCUUGAUCUUGACUCAGACACCUACUAAAAAAAGCAAUUGGAAAUUGCUAGAUUUCUUUCACAAAGGGGAUGUAGACAAAACAUAGAAAAAGAAUGAGUGAGACCGUCCCCUCAUCUGUCUUAUUCACACUUUAGCCCCUUACACGCGUUUCAUCAUUUUUAACAGACACAUAUGAGAAAACCAUAGAGUAUGUGACUAUGUCUAACAAUCAUUUUCAUGCCUCGAGUCCAUUUACACGCAAAUUUUAGGUAUUCACUAUCCCCUAUCCAGCACCAAUGGACAUUUUUGGGUGUUUGCUAAUAGCUUAUUCCACUUGUUUUUAUAAAAAUAUCGGUUUUUGCUCAAAAACCAAGAAAAAGCAUCCUAUUUCUUCAAAAAAAACUCACCACCGGCAACCUCCCAUCCAUCACCAGCAACCAUCUUCGCCACCAGCACUCUUUCUAACAUUUUUUUAGAAUAUUGCUGUUUUAACAGAGCUUUGUCACCAACGCCCCAGACAAACACACCGGAUAUCAUAAUUCGAACUAACUCGUAUCAAUACGAUACAAUUUCUGAAUCCUUAUGGCAAAUUUUGCAUGACAAGAUAUAUAUAUAUAUAUAUAUUUCUUUCACGUAAAAUUGGAGGAGCGUGACAAAUAAAUGUGAAAGAAAGACAGCGCAGAGAUAUUGGAUUUGGAGGUGUGUGUGUGUGUGUUUUUUGUACCUGUUGGAGAAGAGUACGCCAAGGGCGAAGCUGAAGAUGCAGAAAACAACGAUCCAUUUGGGUGAAACAAUGGCUUUGUUUCUGCUCUUCAUAGUGUCUUUGGGCUGUUGAAGCAUGAGUCGAGGAGUUGAUUUUGCGGGGCAAUCUGCAACAUUUGUCAUAAGAUUAGCUUGCUUUUAUGGGUAGAGUUGAUGAAGCGAGUUUACAAUCUUGUCCUAGAUUGGUGGAUGAUUAAACUUUCAUUUGUGUCUUCUGAAGAAUAUUGAUGGUAAAUUUCUAACGGUGUGACUAAACAUGUGUCCGUUGACCAUUCGAUAAGAGGGGUUUCAAAUGUUAAUUUUUUUGCAAUAGCAUUACUUCUGAAAAGUGUGUUUGAUAAACGAGCGUUCAAGUGUUAAUUUUUUGAAAUAGCAUUAUGGCUCCAUAUGGAUUAAUCUAUAAUUUUUCAAAUACAAUGUUAUAUUAAUAUACAAAUAAAAAUAACUUUAAAAACACUUCAUCCAUAAAGUAUAUCACAUAUAAUUCACAAAUAUACAAAAAUAAAAAAAAAAAUAAAUUUUACAACAUUUUCUAUCUAUCAUCGCCACCAAUCACCAUUUUCACCCAACACUAUCACCAUCCCCCCUUUCUCCUCCUCCUCCUCCGUCCACUUCCUUCUUUCUCUCCUUUCCUCUUCCUCCCUCCCUCCCUCCCUUUUACUGCCACCCCCACCCCUCCCCUUCCCUCCCUUCCCCAAUCUAGUUACGACUAGAUCGUGGCCUUUGGUCGAUUGGGAGGGAAAGGAAGGUGUGGGGUGUGGCGGGCAAGAGGAGGGGAGGACGAAAAGGGAAGGGGAAGAUGGGGAGAAGGAGGAGGAAGAGUGAAGGAGAGGAAGAAGAAAAGUGGAGGAAGAGGAGGAGGAAUAGGGAGAAGGAGGAGAAAGUAAGAAGGAUGUGAUGGUGGUGGUUGUGGGUGGUAAUGUUAAUUUUUAAAUGGUACUUUAAAAAAAAUUUAAUUUUAAGAGGUACACCAAAAUAUAUUUCAAAAAAUACCACAAAAAUCAUUGGGUAUUCAUUUAAAAAAAUCUAAUUUCUAAAGGAGCUAAACAAAUAAAGGAAGAAUUAUGUAACGAAAAAAAAAAGGUUUAUUUUGGGAAGGAAAUGCCAAUGAGGGUUGGGAUCAUUAUUUUGGCAAUCAAGAAGGUUAGGCUGGAAUUAUGCUACAUUUUGAGAAAGCACUUGGCAUUUAUCGGAUCUUUAACCUUACCAAAUUCUGACGACGGAAUUUGCUUCAGUCUUUGAAAUAGGCUUUUACGGUAAUAAGCACUCUAACUUAACAGUGAAGACAUACCUGUUGGAAGUUAAAAGUUAGAUUCAAAUUUUCAAUUCCGCAAAAAUCGCAUCAAUUAACUAAUCAAAGAUUGAUCAUCAAUUAACUUAAGAUGCAUGGGUCAAUUUUGUGAAGAGUUCUUUUAAGUAAGACAAAAGGUGGGCCUAGUGUGUGCAAUGUACAAAAUUCGGUUCGGCUAUGAGCACUCUCGAGAAGUUGAUUAAUUGUGAUUGUGUAAUUUAGGUUGCGCUUGAUAAAAGUUGAAGUUAAAAGUUAAAAUUUGAAAUAUGGAAUCUUAAAUGUGAAUCCAUUAAAUUAUUGAAUUGUAAAAUACUAUGUUUGAUAGUUUUUAGUAUGUAUCACAUUAAGUAAUGAGUGAAUAGUUUAUCGCUUAUUGUUUGGAACAAAUUUUAUUUAGGAAAAUCAGGAUCAUUUAAUUAAUUCAAAUAUUCUAUUUUUUAUUAUCAAACGUAUCUGAACAUGUUAAAAUCUAAAUUUCAUUAAGUUUAAAUGCUGAAAUGAAUUAUCAAACAGCUGUGUUAAGUUCCUUCAUUAGAAGGGGGAGGAUUGAGUUGGGUAGUUCAAGUCCUCUCACUUACCCACAAAAAAAAAAAAAAAAAAA
rnacentral:lncRNA from 1 species